UACGGGGGGGGCAAGCGUUGUUCGGAAUUACUGGGCGUAAAGGGCCAGUAGGCGGCCAACUAAGUCGGAUGUGAAAUCCCCAGGCUCAACUUGGGAACUGCAUCCGAUACUGGAUGGCUUGAAUUCGGGAGAGGGAUGCAGAAUUCCAGGUGUAGCGGUGAAAUGCGUAGAUAUCUGGAGGAACACCGGUGGCGAAGGCGGCAUCCUGGACCAACACUGACGCUGAGUGAGCGAAAGCCAGGGGAGCAAACGGG
rnacentral:rRNA from 1 species